GCAAAGAGGAACCAAAAAUAGCAAAAAUUCCACACAUGUUUGUUUUUCUUCCUUCAGUCUUCUUCUUUACUUUUUAGUUUAAUUUAUUUGUCUUUUCUUUUCCUUUCGACACAGAAUAUCAAAACAAACAGAACGAAAUGAAUU
rnacentral:ribozyme from 1 species